rnacentral:rRNA from 1 species
UACGAAGGGGGCUAGCGUUGCUCGGAAUUACUGGGCGUAAAGGGCGCGUAGGUGGCGGGACAAGCGUGCGGUGAAAGCUCGGGGCUCAACCCCGAGUCGGCCGUGCGAACUGUUUUGCUUGAGCACUGUAGAGGCAGGCGGAAUUCCGGGUGUAGCGGUGGAAUGCGUAGAGAUCCGGAAGAACACCGGUGGCGAAGGCGGCCUGACUGGGCAGUAGCUGACACUGAGGCGCGACAGCGUGGGGAGCAAACAGG